UACGUGGGUGGCAAGCGUUGUUCGGAAUAACUGGGCGUAAAGGAUGCGUAGGCGGUUAAACAAGUUAUAUGUUAAAUAUAUAGGCUUAACCUGUAGAAAGCAUAUAAAACUGUUUAACUAGAGUGCAGGAGAGGUAAGUGGAAUUCCUAGUGUAGCGGUGAAAUGCGUAGAGAUUAGGAAGAACACCAGUGGCGAAGGCGACUUACUGGACUGUAACUGUCGCUGAGGCAUGAGAGCAUGGGGAGCAAACAGG
rnacentral:rRNA from 1 species